GAGGAUUAGAUAAACCGUACAGUGCAACUCCAAAGAGUUGAGCCACGCUUUAGGAAAGGGCAAACAUGUAAUUUUAACGAAGCUACGCAUGUUCCAUCCUGCUUUCCUACUCAGAACCUAUUCAGGUUUGGUGGGCGAACUCUUCCUUUUAUAACAGGACAAGUAAUGCUAACGAUUUACUUUUCUUCAAUUUUCCACAUCUCUUUAUAAAAAUCCUACCAUCUUGUACCUGAAAUUCGUAUCUGAUUCUAUCUCUAUAUAUUGCUGUCUUCAGAAAUUGUACAAGUUGAUACAUUCUUGUUUUUCAAGUGCAAAUUUGGCCUUUUGUGUUUUGAAUUUGAAUUUCAAAGGCAAUAAUUUGUUAAGAACAGGGAGACAGUUGAGUAGGAUGUUUAACGGAAUGAUGGAUCCUGAGUUGAUCAGACUUGCUCAGGAGCAAAUGAGUCGCAUGUCACCUGCCGAGUUAGCCAGGAUCCAACAACAGAUGAUGGGUAAUCCAGAGUUGAUGAAAAUGGCCUCAGAAAGCAUGAAGAACAUGAGGCCUGAAGACUUGAGACAGGCUGCGGAACAGUUAAAGCAUGUUCGUCCAGAGGAGAUGGCUGAGAUUGGUGAGAAAAUGGCCAAUGCAUCACCUGAUGAGAUAGCUUCCAUGCAUGCCCGUGUUGAUGGCCAGAUCAACUAUAAAAUAAAUGCGGCUAAGAUGCUAAAGAAACAGGGUAAUGAACUUCACAGCCAAGGAAGGUUCAAAGAAGCCUCACAGAAAUAUCUACUUGCAAAGAAAAACCUAAAAGGAAUUCCAUCCUCCAAAGGCAAAUCACUUAUGUUGGCAUGCUCUCUUAACCUGAUGUCAUGUUACCUGAAAAUUAGGCAGUAUGAAGAAUGCAUAAAAGAAGGCUCAGAGGUUUUGGAAUAUGAUUCAAAAAAUAUCAAAGCUCUCUAUCGGAGGGGCCAAGCCUAUAAAGAACUAGGCCGAUUGGAGGAUGCUGAAUCUGAUUUGAGUGAAGCUCAUGAAAUUUCUCCUGAUGAUGAAACUAUUGCAGAUGUUUUAAGGGAUGCCAAGGAAAGAUUGACUCGAGAAGGUGGUCAUGCACCAAGGAGAUUAAUAAUCGAAGAAAUAACUGAAGAAGUUGGGACUACAUCUUCUCAAAACCCAGGUUCAUCUGCAGCAUAUUCAGUGUCACAAUCAAAGCAAACUGUUGAUACUUCUAGCAGUGAAAGUAAGGCUAAUGGCAAGGGUUUAACCAAUUCAGAGUCUGUGCAUGCUUUGAAAGAUGACCCAGAAGCUAUAAGAUCAUUCCAAAAUUUCAUAUCUAAUGCUGAUCCCGAAACUUUGGCUGCUUUAAGCGGUGGAAAAGCUGGAGAGGUAUCUCCUGAGAUGUUCAGGACUGCCUCAAAUAUGAUCAGCAAGAUGUCACCGGAAGAGCUCCAGAAAAUGAUUCAAAUGGCUUCCUCUUUUCACGGGGGAAACCCAUAUACUGUUGGUGAUUCUUCAGAUAACAGUUUCACACCCGGUUCAGUUCCUCCCAAUGUGUCGCCAGACAUGCUUAAAACAGCAACUGAUUUGAUGAGUAAGAUGCCCCCUGAAGAGCUUCAGAAAAUGUUUCAAAUGGCAUCCUCUAUGAGAGGAAAUGACUCGGUUCCAAAAGCAGCAGCUUUAAGUACUAAUAGACUAAAUUCAGACACUGGGUCAAAACUGACAGGACAAGAAGGAAAUUUUGUAGUUGAUAGGAAUGACAUAAGUGAAACUAGUUCCUCAAAUGGUUUAUUUUCAAGCUCAAGAAAUGCUUCUCCGCUAAGCUUUCCUAGCUCAACUGCUGAUGUGCAAGAACAAGUGAGAAACCAAAUGAAAGAUCCAGCUAUGCGACAGGUGUUCACAUCAAUGAUGAAGAAUAUGAGCCCAGAGAUGAUGGCCAACAUGAGUGAACAAUUUGGAUUGGAACUUUCUCCGGAAGAUGCAGCAAAAGCUCAAAAAGCUAUGUCGUCUUUAUCACCAGAGGACCUGGAUAGAAUGAUGCGAUGGGCAGAUAGGAUCCAGAGAGGAGCUGAAGGUGCAAGGACUGCAAAAAACUGGUUACUAGGGAGGCCUGGUAUGAUUAUGGCCAUGUGCAUGCUCCUCUUAGCCAUGAUCCUUCACUGGCUGGGCUACAUUGGGAGGUAGGGAGGACCCAACUCUUUUUUAAAAGUUUUCUCAGACAAGUUUAACCUUCAGCUCUGUUUAGAUCGACCAGACCAUUCGUGUAUCCUUGAAAUAAGAAUGGGAAGUAGAAAGGGAAUCGGACAGUACAUGGAAUGAAGAAAAUUGAGAAAUUAGAGAGCAGGUUUAAUUUGUGCGUUGGGUGAAGAAGAUGAUAGCCAUAAUUGUUUGAUUUGUUGUACUUCUGAUUUUUGUUUGUGGACUAUUAGGGAGGAGAUUAGAAUUCCUAAAAGGGGGUCUCAGAAAGGAGAUUCUAAGUUAUUGAGCUAAUGUCCACUAACUUUGUGUUAACGCUAUAUAAUUUGGUGUGCAGCAUAUGGAGGUUAUGAGACCCACCACUAAACAAAAUUAAGGUUUUUUAUUUAUUUAUUUUUAUUUGGUAGUCAAAUAACAAUGACUAUGCAGGAAUAGUUCUAUUUGUUUUUCUUUUGUGAUUGGUGUACAUCUUUUUUUCAUUUGUUCUUUAUAUUUAUAACUUAACCUAAUGUCUUAAGUUGGAUUGGAUCUUGGUGAUUAUGGUGACUUUGAUUGUGUCAGGCUAGGCUUCUUUGUCAUUAGGGUAGUUCAUCUCUCAUCUACUGGACUGCUGAAUGACUUGAAAAAUCACUCCUCAGGUAUUUUUCACAUUUCUUUAUAAUAUCUUACCCAUUGAGUUCAAUAUCUUUUUGAGAAAGUAUUUAUUGUUUUGCUAAUAAAAUAGCAUCUGUAGUUUUUUGGUUAUCGGUUUCAGUAUCCCUUAUACUUAAUCUCUAUCUACAAUUUUAAUAAAGCAGAGCAGCUAAUAGUAUUUAUUGUAACUUUGGUGUUUAUAUGAAUGCUGAUAUGUUUCAAAUCUGUCCACACUAUGAUUACUGUGUCGUAUUGUUACUAGUCUGAGCACUAGUCUCAGUUUUUCAACUUAACUUGUUAGUGUUAUUUGAAAAACUGGAUUGGCAUUCCACUCUCUCAUAAUUUAUUUACUUUGAAAGUGAUGCAGAAGAAGUCCUAUGGUUUUUAUUGAAAAUAUCAGACUUAGAAGCAAAUUUAAUUUCAUGGCUCUGGGCCAAGCAAACAAAUGCUGAAGUUGCGGCCUAGAGUACUAUUUGAGAGGACUGCAUUUCCUAAUGACCCGUGUAUAUAGCAAGAUUCUGAGUUGAAAACUAUUAGCUACUCUCAUUUUCUUUUCUUAUUCCUUCCACUUCUUUUUGUCCUUUAGUAACAAAAUUCAAGGAAUAUUUUGGUAUAGGAUUAAUUUGUACUACUCAUGAAUAUUUUUUUUGGUUGGAGGUAAUUUGCGUUAACCCUUGAUGAUCUUGGCUGAAACUUGAAAGAUGAUUUCAACAGUUACAGGGUGGGGAAAGAAGAAUUAUGCUUUGCCUAUAAUUUGAAGAGGAUAUGUUUAAGAGAAUAAUCAUCCAUCAACUUCCUCUUCAACCUCUUACUGGUCUUAUGAAAGGCGCGCAUGAGGCUCUAAUUCUAAUGCCUCUAUGAGAAAAUGGUAGACAAUCUUUAACCGGCGCUCGCCUAUUGUGACAAGGGAGUUCUCUGCUUCUAUUAAAGUUUGUUAGGUCAUUUUAGAAAGUUCCAUUUUCUAUAGAACAUAAUUGAAGAAAUAGUUUGGUGUUUAACAUGAUGAAUGGUCUUUGUUUUAUGUUCACCGUUUUAUGCCUGCGAAAUUUGAAUGACGAAUGUGAUGAAAGUUAUGCAUAGAGCUAAAAAAGAAAGGAGUGCAUCAAAGUUAAGUGAUUAAACUGU
rnacentral:misc_RNA from 1 species